rnacentral:rRNA from 1 species
CCUACGGGAGGCAGCAGUGGGGAAUAUUGGGCAAUGGGCGCAAGCCUGACCCAGCAACGCCGCGUGAAGGAAGAAGGCUCUCGGGUUGUAAACUUCUUUUGUCGGGGAACAAAGGCGGAGCCGCGUCUCCGGAUUAGUGUACCCGAAGAAACAGCAUCGGCUAACCCCGUGCCAGCAGCCGCGGUAAUACGGAGGAUGCGAGCGUUAUCCGGAUUUAUUGGGUUUAAAGGGGGCGCGGGCGGGAGAUCAAGUCAGCGGUAAAUUGUCGGGGCUCAACCCCGGCCGGCCGUUGAAACUGGUUGUCUAGAGUUGGAGAGAAGUAGGCGGAAUUCGUGGUGUAGCGGUGAAAUGCAUAGAUAUCACGAAGAACUCCGAUUGCGAAGGCAGCAUACCGGCUCCAUACUGACGCUGAGGCACGAAAGCGUGGGGAUCGAACAGGAUUAGAUACCCUUGUAGUC